CAGCCGCCGCGGGAAUACAGAGGGUGCAAGCGUUAAUCGGAAUUACUGGGCGUAAAGCGCGCGUAGGUGGUUUGUUAAGUUGGAUGUGAAAUCCCCGGGCUCAAACUGGGAACUGCAUCCAAAACUGGCAAGCUAGAGUAUGGUAGAGGGUGGUGGAAUUUCCUGUGUAGCGGUGAAAUGCGUAGAUAUAGGAAGGAACACCAGUGGCGAAGGCGACCACCUGGACUGAUACUGACACUGAGGUGCGAAAGCGUGGGGAGCAAACAGGAUUAGAUACCCGAGUAGUCCCUGUCUCUUAUAC
rnacentral:rRNA from 1 species